rnacentral:rRNA from 1 species
CAUGUAGGGUGCGAGCGUUGUCCGGAAUUAUUGGGCGUAAAGAGCUCGUAGGCGGUGUGUCGCGUCGGCCGUGAAAACCUGCAGCUUAACUGUGGGCUUGCGGUCGAUACGGGCAUCACUGGAGUUCGGCAGGGGAGACUGGAAUUCCUGGUGUAGCGGUGAAAUGCGCAGAUAUCAGGAGGAACACCGGUGGCGAAGGCGGGUCUCUGGGCCGAUACUGACGCUGAGGAGCGAAAGCGUGGGGAGCGAACAGG